GCAAUGAUACGUAGCCGACCUGAGAGGGUAAUCGGCCACAUUGGGACUGAGCCACGGCCAACUCUUCAUACGGGAGGCAGCAGUAGGGAAUCUUCCACAAUGGACGAAAGUCUGAUGGAGCAACGCCGCGUGAGUGAAGAAGGGUUUCGGCUCGUAAAACUCUGUUGUUAAAGAAGAACAUAUCUGAGAGUAACUGUUCAGGUAUUGACGGUAUUUAACCAGAAAGCCACGGCUAACUACGUGCCAGCAGCCGCGGUAAUACGUAGGUGGCAAGCGUUGUCCGGAUUUAUUGGGCGUAAAGCGAGCGCAGGCGGUUUUUUAAGUCUGAUGUGAAAGCCUUCGGCUCAACCGAAGAAGUGCAUCGGAAACUGGGAAACUUGAGUGCAGAAGAGGACAGUGGAACUUCCAUGUGUAGCGGUGAAAUGCGUAGAUAUAUGGAAGAACACCAGUGGCGAAGGCGGCUGUCUGGUCUGUAACUGACGCUGAGGCUCGAAAGUAUGGGUAGCAAACAGGAUUAGAUACCCUGGUAGUCCAUACCGUAAACGAUGAAUGCUAAGUGUUGGAGGGUUUCCGCCCUUCAGUGCUGCAGCUAACGCAUUAAGCAUUCCGCCUGGGGAGUACGGCCGCAAGGCUGAAACUCAAAGGAAUUGACGGGGGCCCGCACAAGCGGUGGAGCAUGUGGUUUAAUUCGAAGCUACGCGAAGAACCUUACCAGGUCUUGACAUACUAUGCAAAUCUAAGAGAUUAGACGUUCCCUUCGGGGACAUGGAUACAGGUGGUGCAUGGUUGUCGUCAGCUCGUGUCGUGAGAUGUUGGGUUAAGUCCCGCAACGAGCGCAACCCUUAUUAUCAGUUGCCAGCAUUAAGUUGGGCACUCUGGUGAGACUGCCGGUGACAAACCGGAGGAAGGUGGGGAUGACGUCAAAUCAUCAUGCCCCUUAUGACCUGGGCUACACACGUGCUACAAUGGAUGGUACAACGAGUUGCGAACUCGCGAGAGUAAGCUAAUCUCUUAAAGCCAUUCUCAGUUCGGAUUGUAGGCUGCAACUCGCCUACAUGAAGUCGGAAUCGCUAGUAAUCGCGGAUCAGCAUGCCGCGGUGAAUACGUUCCCGGGCCUUGUACACACCGCCCGUCACACCAUGAGAGUUUGUAACACCCAAAGUCGGUGGGGUAACCUUUUAGGAACCAGCCGCCU
rnacentral:rRNA from 2 species